AGCUCCGACACACACAUGUAUUUACUGAAUAUACAAGAAUUGGAGGCUUUAAAAAAGGGGGAGAAAUUUGGGGCUAGCUUGCUCCCUUGUUGGCCCAAGAUCAACAAUCCCACAUUG
rnacentral:snoRNA from 1 species